rnacentral:rRNA from 1 species
AUUGAACGCUGGCGGCAGGCCUAACACAUGCAAGUCGAGCGAGCGGCGGACGGGUGAGUAAUGUCUGGGAAACUGCCUGAUGGAGGGGGAUAACUACUGGAAACGGUAGCUAAUACCGCAUACCAUCAGAUGGGCCCAGAUGGGAUUAGCUAGGAGUUGGGGUAACGGCUCACCUAGGCGACGAUCCCUAUCUGGUAUGAUAGGAGGACGAGCAACACUGGAACUGGGAACCGGUCCAGACUCCUCCGGGAGGCAGAGGUGGGGAAUAUUGGACAAUGGGCGAAAGCCUGAUGCAGCCAUGCGGCGUGUGUGAAGAAGGUCUUCGGGUUGUAAAGCACGUUCAGCGGGGAGGCGUUACCCGCAGAAGAAGCACCGGCUAACUCCGUGCCAGCAGCCGCGGUAAUUC